AAUUUAUAUUUAUAAUUAGUGUAUAAAAUUUAAAAUAAUAAAUAAAUUUUUGUUUUAAUUUAAUUAAAUUAAUAUUUAAAAUUAAUAAUUAAAAUUAAUCAAUAAAGAAAUUUAAAAUUUGUAAAAUAAUUUAAGAUUAUUAAAAAAAGUGCCAGCUAAAGCGGUUAAACUUUAUAAUUUAAUAUUAAUAAAUUUAAUAUAUAAUUUAUUAUAUUUAAUUUAUUUUAAUUAAGUAAAAUUAAUAAAUUUAUAGUUAAAUAUAAUUUAAUUAAAAAUUAAUUAUUUUAAAUUAUUAAUUAAAAAAUUAUAUAAAUUUAUAUUAAAACUAGGAUUAGAUACCCUAUUAUAUAAAUUAAAUAAAAAAUAUUAAAAAGUAAAUUAAUUAAAUUUAAAUUAAUAAAUUUGAUAGUAUUUUAAUUYAAUUAGAGGAAUUUAUURUAUAAUUGAUAAUACACGAUAAGAAAUACUUAUAAUUUUAWAUUUAUAUAUAUUCGUUUUAAAAUUUUUUUUAAAAAAUAAAUUUUUAUAAUUUAAAAUAUAAAAUAAUUCAGGUAAAUAUGUAAUUUAUUUAUAAGAAAUUUAAUGAAUUAUAAAAAAUUAUUAAUUUAUAAUUUUUUUUAUUUAAUUAAUUUUUUAUUAAAAUUUAAAAGUAAAAUUAAUUAAUUAAUUAAUUUGAUUUAUUAAACUUUAAAAUAUAUACAAAUUGCCCGUCAAUUUUAUUAAUUAAUUAAAUUUUAAAUUAAUUAAAAUUUUAAUUAAUAAAUAAAAUAAGUCGUAACAAAGUAAUUAUACUAGAAAGUGUAAUUAGAAUAAAUAAUAAAUUU
rnacentral:rRNA from 1 species